rnacentral:misc_RNA from 1 species
UUUAGUGUACAUACCUACAACGAUAUAUGAAAGAGUUGUGGCCAUGAAUGGCCAAAUUCAGGACUAAUUACUAAUCACCUAAAACCAAAUCACAUCUAAUUAAUUUUAAAUCGAAAAUGGAAUUUAAUUAAAAAUGGAUCACGAUUGUCUUCAUCGUUCAGGGGCAAUUUCAUUUCUUUCCCCAAAUCUUCUCUGUUUCAAGACGUGUGGUUGCUUCGUUAUCUCUCCGUGUGAUUUGACGUUCUCUGUGCCCUCCAUUUGUAGGGUUUUUCUGAUCGAAAGUAGCUUGGUUCUGCCCCGUCAAGGUAUUACUUGGGAGAUUUUGCAAAACC